UGCAGCGACGCCGCGUGAGGGAUGACGGCCUUCGGGUUGUAAACCUCUUUCAGCAGGGACGAAGCGAAAGUGACGGUACCUGCAGAAGAAGCACCGGCCAACUACGUGCCAGCAGCCGCGGUAAUACGUAGGGUGCGAGCGUUGUCCGGAAUUACUGGGCGUAAAGAGCUCGUAGGCGGUUUGUCGCGUCGUCUGUGAAAACCAGCAGCUCAACUGCUGGCUUGCAGGCGAUACGGGCAGACUUGAGUACUGCAGGGGAGACUGGAAUUCCUGGUGUAGCGGUGAAAUGCGCAGAUAUCAGGAGGAACACCGGUGGCGAAGGCGGGUCUCUGGGCAGUAACUGACGCUGAGGAGCGAAAGCGUGGGUAGCGAACAGGAUUAGAUACCCUGGUAGUCCACGCCGUAAACGGUGGGCGCUAGGUGUGGGUUUCCUUCCACGGGAUCCGUGCCGUACCUAACGCAUUAAGCGCCCCGCCUGGGGAGUACGGCCGCAAGGUUAAAACUCAAAGGAAUUGACGGGGGCCCGCACAAGCGGCGGAGCAUGUGGAUUAAUUCGAUGCAACGCGAAAAACCUUACCUGGGUUUGACAUAUACCGGAAAGCCGUAAAGAUACGGCCCCCCUUGUGGUCG
rnacentral:rRNA from 1 species